GAUGAACGCUGGCGGCGUGCCUAAUACAUGCAAGUCGAGCGAACAGACGAGGAGCUUGCUCCUCUGACGUUAGCGGCGGACGGGUGAGUAACACGUGGAUAACCUACCUAUAAGACUGGGAUAACUUCGGGAAACCGGAGCUAAUACCGGAUAAUAUAUUGAACCGCAUGGUUCAAUAGUGAAAGACGGUUUUGCUGUCACUUAUAGAUGGAUCCGCGCCGCAUUAGCUAGUUGGUAAGGUAACGGCUUACCAAGGCAACGAUGCGUAGCCGACCUGAGAGGGUGAUCGGCCACACUGGAACUGAGAACCGGUCCAGACUCCUACGGGAGGCAGCAGUAGGGAAUCUUCCGCAAUGGGCGAAAGCCUGACGGAGCAACGCCGCGUGAGUGAUGAAGGUCUCCGGAUCGUAAAACUCUGUUAUUAGGGAAGAACAAAUGUGUAAGUAACUAUGCACGUCUUGACGGUACCUAAUCAGAAAGCCACGGCUAACUACGUG
rnacentral:rRNA from 1 species